UUACAGAGAAAAACUCAUACUAAAGUUAAACCUUAACUAGGCUGUAAGAAGCUACAGUUAGCGUAAAAAUACAGCACGAAAGUAACUUUAACAUUUCCGGCCACACGAUAGCUAAGACCCAAACUGGGAUUAGAUACCCCACUAUGCUUAGCCCUAAACAUAGAUAGUCUAACUAAACAAAACUAUCUUCCAGAGAACUACUAGCAACAGCUUAAAACUCAAAGGACUUGGCGGUGCUUUAUAUCCCUCUAGAGGAGCCUGUUCUAUAAUCGAUAAACCCCGAUACACCUCACCAUCUCUUGCUAAUUCAGCCUGUAUACCACCAUCUUCAGCAAACCCUAGAAAGGAAGAAAAGUAAGCACAAGUAUCUUAACACAAAAAAGUUAGGUCAAGGUGUAGCCCAUGAGAUGGGAAGCAAUGGGCUACAUUUUCUAUAACUAGAAUACCCACGAAAAUCCUUAUGAAACUAAGGACUAAAGGAGGAUUUAGUAGUAAAUUUGAGAAUAGAGAGCUCAAUUGAAUCAGGCCAUGAAGUACGCACACACCGCCCGUCACCCUCCUCAAGUGACAAAACCCUUAAAGAAACCUAUUCAAACCACUAAACCCACAAGAGGAGAUAAGUCGUAACAAGGUAAGCAUACUGGAAAGUGUGCUUGGAUAAACAAGAUGUAGCUUAAACAAAGCAUCUGGCUUACACCCAGAAGAUUUCAUAUUAAACUCACCAUCUUGAGCCAAAGCUAGCCCAAACACCCAUAAAUUCAAUUAACACUAGACAGUAAAAUAAAACAUUUAGUUACCCUUAAAAGUAUAGGAGAUAGAAAUUUAACUUGGCGCUAUAGAGAAAAUACCGCAAGGGAAAGAUGAAAGAAAAAAGCACUACACAGCAAAGAUUACCCCUUGUACCUUUUGCACAAUGAAUUAGCUAGAACAACCUAACAAAGAGAACUUUAGCUAGGCCCCCUGAAACCAGACGAGUUACCCAUGAAUAAUCUUUAUAGGAUGAACUCGUCUAUGUUGCAAAAUAGUGAGAAGAGUUGUGGGUAGAGAUGAAAAGCCUAAUGAGCCUGGUGAUAGCUGGUUACCCAGAAGAGAAUUUUAGUUCAACUUUAAACUUACCCCAAAAACUUCCUAAAAUUCUAAUGUAAGUUUAAAAUAUAAUCUAAAAAGGUACAGCUUUUUAGAACUAGGAUACAGCCUUUUUUAGAGAGUAAGCACAAACAUAAACCAUAGUUGGCUUAAAAGCAGCUAUCAAUUAAGAAAGCAUUCAAGCUCAACAGUCAAAACACCUAAUGUCAAAAAACGCAGCUAACUCCUAAUUUAAUACUGGGUUAAUCUAUUCAACGAUAGAAGCAAUAAUGCUAAUAUGAGUAACAAGAAAUUCUUCUCCUUGCAUAAGCUUAUAUCAGAGCGGAUAACCACUGAUAGUUAACAAGAUAAAUAUAGCCUAACCAUAAACUGAAUAUCAAACCAAUUGUUAACCCAACACAGGCAUGCAAAUAAGGAAAGAUUAAAAGAAGUAAAAGGAACUCAGCAAACACAAGCCCUGCCUGUUUACCAAAAACAUCACCUCUAGCAUUUCUAGUAUUAGAGGCACUGUCUGCCUGGUGACAUUAGUUAAACGGCUGCGGUAUCCUGACCGUGCAAAGGUAGCAUAAUCACUUGUUCCCUAAAUAGGGACUUGUACAAAUGGCCACACGAGGGCUUUACUGUCUCUUACUUCCAGUCCGUGAAAUUGACCUUCCUGUGAAGAGGCAGGAAUAUUACAAGACGAGAAGACCCUAUGGAGCUUUAAUUAACUGACUCAAAGAGACCUUAUCAAUCAACCAACAGGGACAACAGACCUCUCUACAUGAGUCAACAAUUUAGGUUGGGGUGACCUCGGAGAAGAAAACAACCUCCGAGUGAUUUACAUCUAGACUAACCAGUCGAAAGCAUCGCAUCACUUAUUGAUCCAAAAACUUGAUCAACGGAACAAGUUACCCUAGGGAUAACAGCGCAAUCCUAUUUCAGAGUCCAUAUCAACAGUAGGGUUUACGACCUCGAUGUUGGAUCAGGACAUCCCAAUGGUGCAGCAGCUAUCAAAGGUUCGUUUGUUCAACGAUUAAAGUCCUACGUGAUCUGAGUUCAGAUCAGAGUAAUCCAGGUCGGUUUCUAUCUAUUAAAUAAUUUCUCCCAGUACAAAAGGACAAGAGAAAUAAGGCCCACUUUACCAAAGCGCCUUUAACCAAAUAGAUGAUAUAAUCUUAAUCUAGACAGUUUAUUCAACAACAUCACCCAUAGAGCUCGGGUUU